rnacentral:rRNA from 1 species
CGGACCUGACUGCUAUCGGAUUGAUACUAAGCCAUGCGAGUCUUUGUAGUAAUACAAGGCAGACGGCUCAGUAACACGUAGUCAACCUACCCUAUGGACGAGAAUAAUCUCGGGAAACUGAGCAUAAUUCUCGAUAGAUCAUAAUGCCUGGAAUGGUUUAUGGUUAAAAUGAUUCGUCGCCAUAGGAUGGGACUGCGGCCUAUCAGCUUGUUGGUGAGGUAAUGGCCCACCAAGGCGAUUACAGGUACGGGCUCUGAGAGGAGAAGCCCGGAGAUGGGUACUGAGACACGGACCCAGGCCCUAUGGGGCGCAGCAGGCGAGAAAACUUUGCAAUGUGCGAAAGCACGACAAGGUUAAUCCGAGUGAUUUCUGCUAAAGAAAUCUUUUGUCAGUCAUAAAACCACUGACGAAUAAGGGGUGGGCAAGUUCUGGUGUCAGCCGCCGCGGUAAAACCAGCACCUCAAGUGGUCAGGAUGAUUAUUGGGCCUAAAGCAUCCGUAGCCGGCUUUGUUAGUUUUCGGUUAAAUCCAUGUGCUCAACACAUGGGCUGCCGAAAAUACUGCAUGGCUAGGGAGUGGGAGAGGUAGACGGUACUCAGUAGGAAGGGGUAAAAUCCUUUGAUCUAUUGAUGACCACCUGUGGCGAAGGCGGUCUACCAGAACACGUUCGACGGUGAGGGAUGAAAGCUGGGGGAGCAAACCGGAUUAGAUACCCGGGUAGUCCCAGCUGUAAACGAUGCAGACUCGAUGAUGCAUUGGCAUAAUAGCCAGUGCAGUGUCGCAGGGAAGCCGUUAAGUCUGCCGCCUGGGAAGUACGUACGCAAGUAUGAAACUUAAAGGA